rnacentral:rRNA from 1 species
GGGGUGACUGCGUACCUUUUGUAUAAUGGGUCAGCGACUUAAUUUCAGUAGCAAGGUUAACCAUCUAGGGGAGCCGUAGGGAAACCGAGUCUUAACUGGGCGUACAGUUGCUGGGAUUAGACCCGAAACCAGGUGAUCUAGCCAUGGGCAGGUUGAAGGUGAGGUAACACUUACUGGAGGACCGAACCGACUAAUGUUGAAAAAUUAGCGGAUGACUUGUGGCUAGGGGUGAAAGGCCAAUCAAACCUGGAGAUAGCUGGUUCUCCCCGAAAGCUAUUUAGGUAGCGCCUCGGACGAAUACUACUGGGGGUAGAGCACUGUUAAGGCUAGGGGGUCAUCCCGACUUACCAACCCUUUGCAAACUCCGAAUACCAGUAAGUACUAUCCGGGAGACACACGGCGGGUGCUAACGUCCGUCGUGGAGAGGGAAACAACCCAGACCGCCAGCUAAGGUCCCAAAGUAUCACUAAGUGGGAAACGAUGUGGGAAGGCUCAGACAGCCAGGAUGUUGGCUUAGAAGCAGCCAUCAUUUAAAGAAAGCGUAAUAGCUCACUGGUCGAGUCGGCCUGCGCGGAAGAUUUAACGGGGCUAAGUGAUACACCGAAGCUGCGGCAAUGCGAUUUAUCGUAUUGGGUAGGGGAGCGUUCUGUAAGCGGCUGAAGGUGUGCUGUAAGGCAUGCUGGACGUAUCAGAAGUGCGAAUGCUGACAUGAGUAACGAUAAUGGGGGUGAAAAACCUCCACGCCGGAAGACCAAGGGUUCCUGUCCAACGUUAAUCGGGGCAGGGUGAGUCGACCCCUAAGGCGAGGCCGAAAGGCGUAGUCGAUGGGAAACGGGUUAAUAUUCCCGUACUGCUUACUAUUGCGAUGGGGGGACGGAGAAGGCUAGGUGGGCCGGGCGACGGUUGUCCCGGUUCAAGGGUGUAGGCUGAUGGUUUAGGCAAAUCCGGACCAUCUUUAAGGCUGAGACCCGAUGUCGAGCCACCACGGUGGUGAAGUCAUUGAUGCCAUGCUUCCGGGAAAAGCCUCUAAGCUUCAGAUAGUAAGGAAUCGUACCCCAAACCGACACAGGUGGUCGGGUAGAGAAUACCAAGGCGCUUGAGAGAACUCGGGUGAAGGAACUAGGCAAAAUGGUACCGUAACUUCGGGAGAAGGUACGCUGCCGGCGGUGAAGAGACUUGCUCUUGGAGCUGCUGGCAGUCGCAGAUACCAGGUGGCUGCAACUGUUUAUUAAAAACACAGCACUGUGCAAAAUCGAAAGAUGACGUAUACGGUGUGACGCCUGCCCGGUGCCGGAAGGUUAAUUGAUGGGGUUAUCUUCGGAGAAGCUCUUGAUCGAAGCCCCGGUAAACGGCGGCCGUAACUAUAACGGUCCUAAGGUAGCGAAAUUCCUUGUCGGGUAAGUUCCGACCUGCACGAAUGGCGUAAUGAUGGCCACGCUGUCUCCACCCGAGACUCAGUGAAAUUGAAAUCGCAGUGAAGAUGCUGCGUCCCCGCGGCUAGACGGAAAGACCCCGUGAACCUUUACUACAGCUUGGCACUGAACAUUGACCCUACAUGUGUAGGAUAGGUGGGAGGCUUCGAAGCAGGUACGCCAGUAUCUGUGGAGCCGUCCUUGAAAUACCACCCUUGUCGUGUUGAUGUUCUAACGUCGCCCCGUUAUCCGGGGUGCGGACAGUGCCUGGUGGGUAGUUUGACUGGGGCGGUCUCCUCCCAAAGCGUAACGGAGGAGCACGAAGGUGGGCUAAUCACGGUCGGACAUCGUGAGGUUAGUGCAAUGGCAUAAGCCCGCUUAACUGCGAGAAUGACGGUUCGAGCAGGUGCGAAAGCAGGUCAUAGUGAUCCGGUGGUUCUGAAUGGAAGGGCCAUCGCUCAACGGAUAAAAGGUACUCCGGGGAUAACAGGCUGAUACCGCCCAAGAGUUCAUAUCGACGGCGGUGUUUGGCACCUCGAUGUCGGCUCAUCACAUCCUGGGGCUGAAGUCGGUCCCAAGGGUAUGGCUGUUCGCCAUUUAAAGUGGUACGCGAGCUGGGUUUAGAACGUCGUGAGACAGUUCGGUCCCUAUCUGCCGUGGGCGCUGGAUGAUUGAAGGGAGUUGCUCCUAGUACGAGAGGACCGGAGUGAACGAACCGCUGGUGUUCGGGUUGUGUCGCCAGACGCAUUGCCCGGUAGCUAAGUUCGGAACAGAUAACCGCUGAAAGCAUCUAAGCGGGAAGCUGGCCCUGAGAUGAGUCAUCCCUGAGACUUUAAGUCUCCUGAAGGGCUGUUCGAGACUAGAACGUUGAUAGGCAGGGUGUGUAAGCGUUGUGAGGCGCUCAGCUAACCUGUACUAAUUGCCCGUGAGGCUUAACCAU